GGUCUGGUAGCCAAGUGGUAAGGCAGCAGUUUGCAAAACUGCCAUCAUCGGUUCAAAUCCGUUCCAGACCU
rnacentral:tRNA from 1 species